rnacentral:lncRNA from 1 species
AGCUUCCGGCGCAGGAACUCGCGGGCGGGGAAAGCCCAGGGCUGGGACAAAGGACACGGACACACUGAGCCCCAUAGAGCCUGCCCCAUAGAGCCUGCCCCAUAGAUCAUAGCAUGCCCCAUAGAUCAGUGUGCCCCAUAGAAGCCUGGCCCCAUAGAUCAGUGUGCCCAUAGAGCCUGCCCCAUAGAUCAGUGUGCCCCAUAGAGCCUGCCCCAUAGAUCAGUGUGCCCCAUAGAUCAGUGUGCCCCAUAGAUCAGUGUGCCCCAGAGAGCCUGCCCCAUAGAUCAGUGUGCCCCAUAGAGCCUGCCCCAUAGCGCCUGCCCCCAUAGAUCCAGUGGGUGCCCCAUAGAGCAGUGUGCCCCAUAGAGCCCUGCCCAUAGAUACACACUGUGCCCAUAGAGCCUGCCAUAGAGGCCUGCCCCAUAGAUCAGUGUGCCCCAUAGAUCAGUGUGCCCCAUAGAGCCUGCCCCAUAGAUCAGUGUGCCCCAUAGAUCACACUGUGCCCCAUAGAGCCUGCCCCAUAGAUCAGUGUGCCCCAUAGAGCAGUGUGGCCCCAUAAGAGCCUGCCCAUAGAUCAAGUGGUGCCCCAUCAUGAGCCUGCCAUAUGAUCACACUGUGCCCAUAGAGCCUGCCCCAUAGAGCCUGCCCCAUAGUCAGUGUGCCCAUACGAUCCACUGCGCCCCAUAGACCUGCCCAUAGAUCAGUGUGCCCCAUAGAUCACAGUGUGCCCCAUAGAGCCUGCCCCAUAGAUCAGUGUGCCCCAUAGAGCCUGCCCCAUAGAUCACACUGUGCCCCAUAGAGCCUGCCCCAUAGAGCCUGCCCCAUAGAUCACACUGUGCCCCAUAGAGCCUGCCCCAUAGAUCAGUGUGCCCCAUAGAGCCUGCCCCAUAGAUCACACUGUGCCCC